UAGGGAAUAUUAGUAAUGGGCGAAAGCCUGAACUAGCAACGCCACGUGUGCGAAGAAGGCCUUCGGGUUGUAAAGCACUUUUUGAGAGGAUGAGGAAGGACGGUACUCUCAGAAUAAGUCUCGGCUAACUACGUGCCAGCAGCCGCGGUAACACGUAGGAGGCGAACGUUAUCCGGAUUUACUGGGCGUAAAGCGCGUGUAGGUGGUUUGGUAAGUAGGGCGUGAAAGCUCCUGGCUCAACUGGGAGAGGCCGUUCUAAACUGCCGAACUAGAGGAUGGUAGAGGGAGGUGGAAUUCCGGGUGUAGCGGUGGAAUGCGCAGAUAUCCGGAGGAACACCAGUGGCGAAAGCGGCCUCCUGGACCACUCCUGACACUCAGACGCGAAAGCUAGGUUAGCAAACGG
rnacentral:rRNA from 1 species